rnacentral:rRNA from 1 species
UACGUAGGGUGCGAGCGUUAAUCGGAAUUACUGGGCGUAAAGCGUGCGCAGGCGGUUCGUUGUGUCGGCGGUGAAAGCCCCGGGCUCAACCUGGGAAUGGCCGUUGAAACUGGCGAACUGGAGUGUGGCAGAGGGGGGUGGAAUUCCCGGUGUAGCAGUGAAAUGCGUAGAGAUCGGGAGGAACAUCUGUGGCGAAGGCGACUACCUGGACCAGCACUGACACUGAGGCACGAAAGCGUGGGGAGCAAACAGG